AUGGUGGGGAAAAAGAUGGUCGCUGUGAAGAAACUAUCCCAAACGAUGCAUGAGAAUAAAUUCCACAGAGAAGUUGAAUGCAUUACGAAGGCCAAGCACAAAAACAUAGUGCGUUUCCUUGGAUACUGUUCUGACACGCAAGGGAGAAUUGAAGAUUACCAAGGAAAGUUUGUCAUGGCAGAUGUACGAAACUGGUUGCUAUGUUUUGAGUACGUACCGAAUGGAAGUCUCAUCGAGUAUAUUACCGAUCCAUCUCGUGGACUUGAAUGGAGAGAGCGAUACCAAAUAAUUAAGGGAAUCUGUGAGGGACUACUUCAUCUUCACGAGAAGCGUAUCCUCCACCUAGAUCUCAAGCCUAGUAAUAUAUUGAUUGAUAUUCACAUGGUACCCAAAAUUGCUGAUUUUGGCCUCUCAAGGUGCCUUGAUAAAGACCAAACCCGUGACUCACUUCAAACAUAUGUGGAUCACUGUAACAUGGCACACGAAUUCUUCAUAGGACAAGUCACUUUUGCAUCAGACAUAUACAGUCUUGGUAUUAUAAUUAUGGAGAUUCUGACAGGAGAGAAGGGGUAUCAGGAAGAACAGAGGUAG
rnacentral:rRNA from 1 species